rnacentral:lncRNA from 1 species
AUGAAGCAUGAGAAGGAUUCGCCAUGCAAUUAUUGGCUCGAAGACGAGGGGGUCUGCAUGUCAAGAAGACAGGGAUCUCAGUUCCGCAACUGCAAUGAACUGAAUUCUGCUAACAACCUAGAUGCAUUUGGAAGUGGAUUCUUCCCCAGAUUCUGCAGACAGCCCAGCCCAGCCAACACUGGAGCGCCAAAGUGGAUUUCAGCUUUGAGAGUCCCUGAGUACAGAACGCAGCUGUGCCACACUGUGCCGGGACUUCUGGUCCAGGGAUGCUGAAGAACAGUUCUACCCUGGGAACCGAGUGCUUCAUUGCCCUCCUGGUGGAGGUCCCAAGAUGGCACAGAGAGACCAGAUGAGUUCUCCUGAAGACCCUUCAGUAUUUCCUCCAAGCUUCAUUUCCCAGACUCCCGUAUUCUCCAAGUCACCAGAGAAUGGCAUUUUGUUUUGACCGAAGGUAAGAUUUAUGGCAAAUAAGACAAAGAUUCUGAAAGUUCUGGGAGGGCACACUGGGCUUUAUUGGUGAAGUCAGCCGGUCAAUCUGCAUGUGUCUCUCCCAGCUUCCUCAUAAUGACUUUUCGAGGCUUUUUACAUCCAGUGAAGAUUCUUUCCAAAAAUGCUGCUUAAACCCAGGUCACCAGAGAGUGUGACUGAUCUGCACUGUCCACUGUGGUAACCUUUAGCUACCAUGUGAAAUGUGGCUUGUCAGAAUUGAGAUGUUUUGUACGUUCAAAAUACAC